rnacentral:tRNA from 1 species
GGAGGCGCAUCUCGUCUGGUGACGGGCGCGGUCUUCAAAACCGUUCUGUGAGCCUGUGAGAGCAGGCUCAGGUAGGUUCGAUUCCUACACGCCUCCGCCA